UUAAGCGACUAAGCGUACACGGUGGAUGCCCUGGCAGUCAGAGGCGAUGAAGGACGUGCUAAUCUGCGAAAAGCGUCGGUAAGGUGAUAUGAACCGUUACAGCCGGCGAUGUCCGAAUGGGGAAACCCAGUGCAAAUCGUUGCACUAUCGUUUGAUGAAUACAUAGUCAAACGAGGCGAACCGGGGGAACUGAAACAUCUAAGUACCCCGAGGAAAAGAAAUCAACCGAGAUUCCCCCAGUAGCGGCGAGCGAACGGGGAGCAGCCCGGAGUCUGAAUCAGCUUGUGUGUUAGUGGAAGCGUCUGGAAAGUCGCAGGGUACAGGGUGAUACUCCCGUACACUAAAACACACAGGCUGUGAACUCGAAGAGUAGGGCGGGACACGUGGUAUCCUGUCUGAAUAUGGGGGGACCAUCCUCCAAGGCUAAAUACUCCUGACUGACCGAUAGUGAACCAGUACCGUGAGGGAAAGGCGAAAAGAACCCCGGCGAGGGGAGUGAAAAAGAACCUGAAACCGUGUACGUACAAGCAGUAGGAGCCCACUUGUUGGGUGACUGCGUACCUUUUGUAUAAUGGGUCAGCGACUUAUAUUCUGUAGCAAGGUUAACCGUAUAGGGGAGCCGCAGGGAAACCGAGUCUUAACUGGGCGUUAAGUUGCAGGGUAUAGACCCGAAACCCGGUGAUCUAGCCAUGGGCAGGUUGAAGGUUGGGUAACACUAACUGGAGGACCGAACCGACUAAUGUUGAAAAAUUAGCGGAUGACUUGUGGCUGGGGGGGAAAGACCAAUCAAACCGGGAGAUAGCUGGUUCUCCCCGAAAGCUAUUUAGGUAGCGCCUCGUGAACUCAUCUUCGGGGGUAGAGCACUGUUUCGGCUAGGGGGUCAUCCCGACUUACCAACCCGAUGCAAACUACGAAUACCGAAGAAUGUUAUCACGGGAGACACACGGCGGGUGCUAACGUCCGUCGUGAAGAGGGAAACAACCCAGACCGCCAGCUAAGGUCCCAAAGUCAUGGUUAAGUGGGAAACGAUGUGGGAAGGCCCAGACAGCCAGGAUGUUGGCUUAGAAGCAGCCAUCAUUUAAAGAAAGCGUAAUAGCUCACUGGUCGAGUCGGCCUGCGCGGAAGAUGUAACGGGGCUAAACCAUGCACCGAAGCUGCGGCAGCGACACUAUGUGUUGUUGGGUAGGGGAGCGUUCUGUAAGCCGUUGAAGGUGGCCUGUGAGGGUUGCUGGAGGUAUCAGAAGUGCGAAUGCUGACAUAAGUAACGAUAAUGCGGGUGAAAAACCCGCACGCCGGAAGACCAAGGGUUCCUGUCCAACGUUAAUCGGGGCAGGGUGAGUCGACCCCUAAGGCGAGGCCGAAAGGCGUAGUCGAUGGGAAACAGGUUAAUAUUCCUGUACUUGGUGUUACUGCGAAGGGGGGACGGAGAAGGCUAUGUUGGCCGGGCGACGGUUGUCCCGGUUUAAGCAUGUAGGCGGAUGUUCCAGGUAAAUCCGGAACGUUAUUAACGCUGAGGUGUGAUGACGAGGCACUACGGUGCUGAAGUGACAAAUGCCCUGCUUCCAGGAAAAGCCUCUAAGCAUCAGGUAACAUCAAAUCGUACCCCAAACCGACACAGGUGGUCAGGUAGAGAAUACCAAGGCGCUUGAGAGAACUCGGGUGAAGGAACUAGGCAAAAUGGUGCCGUAACUUCGGGAGAAGGCACGCUGAUACGUAGGUGAAGUGGUUUACCCAUGGAGCUGAAAUCAGUCGAAGAUACCAGCUGGCUGCAACUGUUUAUUAAAAACACAGCACUGUGCAAACACGAAAGUGGACGUAUACGGUGUGACGCCUGCCCGGUGCCGGAAGGUUAAUUGAUGGGGUUAUCCGUAAGGAGAAGCUCUUGAUCGAAGCCCCGGUAAACGGCGGCCGUAACUAUAACGGUCCUAAGGUAGCGAAAUUCCUUGUCGGGUAAGUUCCGACCUGCACGAAUGGCGUAAUGAUGGCCAGGCUGUCUCCACCCGAGACUCAGUGAAAUUGAACUCGCUGUGAAGAUGCAGUGUACCCGCGGCAAGACGGAAAGACCCCGUGAACCUUUACUAUAGCUUGACACUGAACACUGGUCCUUGAUGUGUAGGAUAGGUGGGAGGCUUUGAAGCGUGGACGCCAGUCUGCAUGGAGCCAUCCUUGAAAUACCACCCUUUAAUGGCUGGGGUUCUAACGUGGGCCCCUAAUCCGGGUUGCGGACAGUGUCUGGUGGGUAGUUUGACUGGGGCGGUCUCCUCCUAAAGAGUAACGGAGGAGCACGAAGGUCAGCUAAUCCUGGUCGGACAUCAGGAGGUUAGUGCAAUGGCAUAAGCUGGCUUGACUGCGAGCGUGACGGCGCGAGCAGGUGCGAAAGCAGGUCAUAGUGAUCCGGUGGUUCUGAAUGGAAGGGCCAUCGCUCAACGGAUAAAAGGUACUCCGGGGAUAACAGGCUGAUACCGCCCAAGAGUUCAUAUCGACGGCGGUGUUUGGCACCUCGAUGUCGGCUCAUCACAUCCUGGGGCUGAAGUAGGUCCCAAGGGUAUGGCUGUUCGCCAUUUAAAGUGGUACGCGAGCUGGGUUUAGAACGUCGUGAGACAGUUCGGUCCCUAUCUGCCGUGGGCGCUGGAGAAUUGAGGGGGGCUGCUCCUAGUACGAGAGGACCGGAGUGGACGCAUCACUGGUGUUCGGGUUGUCAUGCCAAUGGCAUUGCCCGGUAGCUAAAUGCGGAAGAGAUAAGUGCUGAAAGCAUCUAAGUACGAAACUUGCCCCGAGAUGAGUUCUCCCUGACCCCUUAAGAGUCCUGAAGGAACGUUGAAGACGACGACGUUGAUAGGCCGGGUGUGUAAGCGCAGCGAUGCGUUGAGCUAACCGGUACUAAUGAACCGUGAGGCUUAACCUU
rnacentral:rRNA from 1 species